rnacentral:rRNA from 1 species
UACGGAGGGGACUAGCGUUGUUCGGAAUUACUGGGCGUAAAGCGCACGUAGGCGGAUUUGUAAGUCAGGGGUGAAAUCCCGGGGCUCAACCUCGGAACUGCCUUUGAUACUGCAAAUCUCGAGUCCGGAAGAGGUGAGUGGAAUUCCUGGUGUAGCGGUGAAAUGCGUAGAGAUCAGGAGGAACACCCGUGGCGAAGGCGGCCCCCUGGGUCGGCCCUGACGCUGAGGCGCGAAAGCGUGGGGAGCGAGCGGG